rnacentral:siRNA from 1 species
CAAAAUUCCUCAGCAUUGACUUAU